rnacentral:rRNA from 2 species
AAAUUGAAGAGUUUGAUCAUGGCUCAGAUUGAACGCUGGCGGCAGGCCUAACACAUGCAAGUCGAACGGUAACAGGAAGCAGCUUGCUGCUUCGCUGACGAGUGGCGGACGGGUGAGUAAUGUCUGGGAAACUGCCUGAUGGAGGGGGAUAACUACUGGAAACGGUGGCUAAUACCGCAUAACGUCGCAAGACCAAAGAGGGGGACCUUCGGGCCUCUUGCCAUCAGAUGUGCCCAGAUGGGAUUAGCUGGUUGGUGAGGUAACGGCUCACCAAGGCGACGAUCCCUAGCUGGUCUGAGAGGAUGACCAGCCACACUGGAACUGAGACACGGUCCAGACUCCUACGGGAGGCAGCAGUGGGGAAUAUUGCACAAUGGGCGCAAGCCUGAUGCAGCCAUGCCGCGUGUAUGAAGAAGGCCUUCGGGUUGUAAAGUACUUUCAGCGGGGAGGAAGGUGUUGUGGUUAAUAACUGCAGCAAUUGACGUUACCCGCAGAAGAAGCACCGGCUAACUCCGUGCCAGCAGCCGCGGUAAUACGG